CCCGAACUAUACCUUUAAUGGGAUUUGUGGUUAUUUUCCACUGCUAAGAACAGUAUGGUCAGCAGAGUGCACUCUGUGCAUUCUAUUAGGGGAUCAGUAGCUGACACCAGUAGACAAGAAGAAGUUGUCAGUACUGAUGAGUUAGUGUAAGACUGCGAGCAAAGGAGAGCGCUUCUGACUAAUAUUGCGUUGUUAUAUUUCCAACAGUUAAACGUGUGCAGCUCAGUGGCUUCAUGGACAAGCAGGAGAAGAGGGCUGGAGAAGAUAUUUUAUGGCAUCAAUUGAAGUUGAAGCUGAUGGAACUGGAGCAAGCUGAGCUGUGUGCUACCAAGAGUCAGAGGGAGAGGUGUCAAUGUGAAAAUGAUGUGGCUUAACCAGACCCUGCUGGAUCUCCAGCCCCAUCCCUUUUCUGGGUCAAGAUAUGGACAAGAUGACUUAAAGUGAUUGGUACAACACAUCAUUCAUUCAUGAAGAUCGAGGUUAGUGGCUUAUCUCACAUGGCUAACACUUGUAAAGCCAUGAACAUGCUGCUGGUGCAUCAGUGUGAUACUUUGUUACUUGCACUAGUUCACCAAGUGACCCCAGCGUUUUUGUUAUCCUUUCAAAGCUCACUCUCAUGUUGAGUAAUGCUUAGGAUAUAAACAUUAUUUUAUCUUCGGUGUGUUGUUUCACAAUUACCAGCUGUUAAAACCCUGGCACAGCUGUAGAGGUGCGAAUCCCAAAUCAUUCGACUGACUCAACUCACCUUCAUUUCAGGCUCAAACAGCUUUUUCAUUAGUCUUAGCAGUUCACUACACUGCAGAGCGUUUUGUACAUCCGUAAGUGAAUGCAUCACCACUCAAAUGCUCUUCAGUAUUUACAAUAGUAAGCGAACGCAUCACCGUUAGAGAGCACUUUUGAUGUAUAUGAGUGCAAGGCCAUAAAAACAACCAAUGCUGCAUUAACUAAAUGACAGCAAUUUGAUUGGAUAAAACCUCCAGCAGGCUUGUCUGAGCUGGAGAUGCUGCUUGAUCCCAGUAACAACACAACUACUUUCUUGGAUGGAUACGGACAUCUUUCCUUCUCUAAUCCCCUUAAAUUCACUUUAUUUAAAAUGUGAUAAUGAUGAUGAAUAAUAGCUGAAUGAUAGAUAGUAAAGAAAUAUAUAUCAAGAAUCAAUGUUAAUUCAUUGUUUUACAAAGCAGGUUACUGAACAGAAUCUGUUGUAAGAUACCUUACAUUACAUAAGGGAAUCAAUACAAGAAAAAACAACUGUACGGAGUGGAGUGUUGAGGAUGAGUUCAAGAGCAUCACAGUGUGGGGAGUGAAGCUGCAGUGUAGUUGGGUGGCACAGCAGCAGAUACUGCAUGUGUUGUCACAUGGCAGCAGAGUGAACAGACUGUGGCUGGGUGGGUGGUGGAUUAUGCGUUAAACAAUUAAACUGUCCACAUUCUAUUGUUAGGGUCCACCUCACAAGCACUGAAUUCCCUGCUAUGAUGCACUAUGAUGUCAUUUAUGCUGGCACUGUGCUAAGACCUGACGAGCUCUUCUGAGAAUCCUGUACUGUAUGUAUGAUUAAGCGCUCAAAGAUUAUCUUGUUCAGAUGGUGAACCUGUACAAUCUGAGUGGAACUAAGUGGAACAGAGAGUCUCUGAGAAGAGAAAUCAACAAAGUAGCGAUGUUUCAACUAAGCUAGCUCUGGCAAAUGGCAUGUCUUGCUCCUGUCUGAACACAGAAUACAUUGUGGCCUUCGUCUGCCCUGAUAGCAGCAAGAGUAAUAGUAAAGAAAAAGCUCUGGCUUGUGUCUUGAUUCAUCACAAUCUCAAAUCAUAGAGAGUCUGCUGCAGACAGAAAAUGUAACAUGCUAAUGUUAGGCAGGUAGGCUAUAUUCUUGACACUUGCCAGUUGUAUUUUUAAGAGUUUUGUAUUGUAUUAUUUUGUGCAGUACUGUGUAUUGUAUUUCCCUCCUAUCCUGGGGCUCACUUGUACAUUUACUUUUUACAAUACAUAAACCACACAACAACUCGUGCUAAAACCUUGGGUUGUGACAAACACAGACCUUGUUAAAAAUCUGCAGUAUAGAAUAUUCAUAUGGCUGACUUCAUGGUUGGUCAGUCACUUAUUAUAAUAAAGUAUGGAACAUAGUCUACAUACACAGUAUAUGAUGGUGACACAGCUGUUUUUCAAAAAGGUGAGUGUCAUCUGGCUUCCCAUACAGAGUGCAGCUGAGACGCAGAACAUCUCUCGGAGUGGAGCUUAUAUAUAGGCUACUUGAGGAGUGUCAGCUUGAUGAAUGAUAUCAUUAUGAGACUGAGAUGAAAGGCACACUGGCAGGAGGUCAGCUUGGACUCAUCUCUGGUUCAUCAGGGCCUUAUUCACCCAGGGGAAGUUGAUUGCUCUCCUCCAGCUUUCACACCACUGACCUUCCUGCUUAAGUUGCCGUCUUAACCAGAAUCAUUGCUGUGAUUGUUUUGAAGUGUUCCUAAAAGGAGAAACACUCUGUCAAUGGGGAAAUCAUUUCUCUUUUUUUCCAGUUCAGGCUGCAUUCACACUGUUAAUAUAGUGAUGGCACAUUUGGGGGGAAAAAUGAUUGAAGGGUCUUCACUAUCACAGAUGUAACAGUCUGCUGGACAGCAAAGCCCACUGGGUUUUUCUACAGUGUGUAUCUGACAGCAUUUCUACCAGCAGUCAGAGAGGGAUUCAACAGAUCUUUCCAAGGAUGAUAACAGCGUUUCUAAAUGGAGGCUGCUGUCAUUAGGCUGAUUCAAAUCCCAAUGUUUUCUCCUCCUGUAAAGGUAAUAUUGUUUCUCGUAAGGCACAUAUAAAUUGUGUCUCUGAGGCUUACAUCUGUGCUUUUGGGUGUUAGUGUUACUAAUGUCCUGGACUGCUGUCUCUGCCACAGGAAGAUAAUGAGAAUUUAAAUAACUAGACACCAAUAAUACUAAGAAGCUUAUUUUGUGUAUCCUGCAGCACGCUGCUCUACCUGAAUGUGACUUCAAGUGUAAAGUAAUAAACUCAUCACUUUUUCCCCAAUUGCAUCGCACCUACCUGACUACCACUUAACUAAGUCAACCAAGCACAGAGAGACAAGAAUGAUGCUACUGACCAUUUAAGAAGCAUACUGUUGUAUAACCCAGACUUACUGCCUCACUGUUCUAGUUUUUAUAUUCAUGUCCUCAUUCAAUAAAGCCUGCAUAGUGACGACUUUGAAGAAAUUGAAUAGAAAGGUAUAAGGUGUAGUUGUUGGUGAAAUGCAAGUUCUCACUGUACUGACAUGAAUGAUUCCAGUGAAUCCUUCCCUGUGAGAAACAUCUUCACUUCACUGAGAGACUGAGCUUCAUCACAUGGUGCAACAACAACCACCUGAAGAUCAAUAUGAACACAACCAAUGAGCUGCUGUUGGACCGCUGCUGUAUGUCUCUCAGUGUGUUAGAUCAUGAGAACAUUCCUUGUAUGUGUUCACACGUUUGGACUAUGAAGCUGAUUCUGACACAACACCACAGCACCCAAGAUCUCUACAGUCAGCACAGCUUCCAGGUGAGCACCCAGGAUUACUGUCACCGGCUCAUCAUCUGACCAAAUGUGAAACCUGCUCACAAUCGGCUUCUGUUCCUCAGUUAUGGUGCUGAAUGAUGUCCAGGAAUGUGUGCCUGCAGAACAUUCUGAUGUCACAGUGACGUUGACCUUUGACCUUUUGGAUGUAAACUCAUUAUUACAAAAGUCAUGAACUAAACCAAAUAAAUGACAAUAAGACUU